rnacentral:rRNA from 1 species
GGUUGAUCCUGCCAGUAGUCAUAUGCUUGUCUUAAAGAUUAAGCCAUGCACGUCUAAGGAUAAAUAUUUUUUAACCGUAAACCUGCGGAUGGCUCAUUAAAUCAGUUACAAUCUACUCUAUUGUAUAAAUUUACUUGGAUAACCGUAGUAAUUCUAGAGCUAAUACAUGCAAAAAAUUUGAACUCGCAAGGGAACAAAUGUAUUUAUUAAGGGGCAAAAUCAAUACAAAUCAUUCCAAACUCUAGAUUAUACUUUAAUCGGUAUUUUUUAGGGGAUUUGUUAAAAAAAAAAUU